AGUGAACGCUGGCGGUAGGCCUAACACAUGCAAGUCGAACGGCAGCACAGGAGAGCUUGCUCUCUGGGUGGCGAGUGGCGGACGGGUGAGGAAUACAUCGGAAUCUACUCUGUCGUGGGGGAUAACGUAGGGAAACUUACGCUAAUACCGCAUACGACCUACGGGUGAAAGCAGGGGAUCUUCGGACCUUGCGCGAUUGAAUGAGCCGAUGUCGGAUUAGCUAGUUGGCGGGGUAAAGGCCCACCAAGGCGACGAUCCGUAGCUGGUCUGAGAGGAUGAUCAGCCACACUGGAACUGAGACACGGUCCAGACUCCUACGGGAGGCAGCAGUGGGGAAUAGUGGACAAUGGGCGCAAGCCUGAUCCAGCCAUACCGCGUGGGUGAAGAAGGCCUUCGGGUUGUAAAGCCCUUUUGUUGGGAAAGAAAUCCAGCUGGCUAAUACCCGGUUGGGAUGACGGUACCCAAAGAAUAAGCACCGGCUAACUUCGUGCCAGCUGCCGCGGUAA
rnacentral:rRNA from 1 species